AACGAACGCUGGCGGCAUGCCUAACACAUGCAAGUCGAACGAGACCUUCGGGUCUAGUGGCGCACGGGUGCGUAACGCGUGGGAACCUGCCCUUAGGUUCGGAAUAACUCCCCGAAAGGGGUGCUAAUACCGGAUAAUGUCUUCGGACCAAAGAUUUAUCGCCUUUGGAUGGGCCCGCGUUGGAUUAGCUAGUUGGUAGGGUAAAAGCCUACCAAGGCGACGAUCCAUAGCUGGUCUGCUAGGAUGAUCAGCCACACUGGGACUGAGACACGGCCCAGACUGCUACGGGAGGCAGCAGAGGGGAAUAUUGGACAAGGGGCGAAGACCUGAUCCAGCAAUGCCGCGUGAGUGAUGAAGGCCUUAGGGUUGUAAAGCUCUUUUACCCGGGAUGAUAAUGACAGUACCGGGAGAAGAAGCUCCGGCUAACUCCGUG
rnacentral:rRNA from 1 species